GGGCGUUAAGUUGCAGGGUAUAGACCCGAAACCCGGUGAUCUAGCCAUGGGCAGGUUGAAGGUUGGGUAACACUAACUGGAGGACCGAACCGACUAAUGUUGAAAAAUUAGCGGAUGACCUGUGGCUGGGGGUGAAAGGCCAAUCAAACCGGGAGAUAGCUGGUUCUCCCCGAAAGCUAUUUAGGUAGCGCCUCGUGAAUUCAUCUCCGGGGGUAGAGCACUGUUUCGGCUAGGGGGCCAUCCCGGCUUACCAACCCGAUGCAAACUGCGAAUACCGGAGAAUGUUAUCACGGGAGACACACGGCGGGUGCUAACGUCCGUCGUGAAGAGGGAAACAACCCAGACCGCCAGCUAAGGUCCCAAAGUCAUGGUUAAGUGGGAAACGAUGUGGGAAGGCCCAGACAGCCAGGAUGUUGGCUUAGAAGCAGCCAUCAUUUAAAGAAAGCGUAAUAGCUCACUGGUCGAGUCGGCCUGCGCGGAAGAUGUAACGGGGCUAAACCAUGCACCGAAGCUGCGGCAGCGAACGUAUCACCCAAGACAACUUUACGGAGUUGACGAUUGACGGAGCGAAGCGACGUCAAAGCGUUCAUUAAAGUCGAGUUGGCUUAGGGAUACGUUCGUUGGGUAGGGGAGCGUUCUGUAAGCCUGYGAAGGUGGCCUGUGAGGGUUGCUGGAGGUAUCAGAAGUGCGAAUGCUGACAUAAGUAACGAUAAAGCGGGUGAAAAGCCCGCUCGCCGGAAGACCAAGGGUUCCUGUCCAACGUUAAUCGGGGCAGGGUGAGUCGACCCCUAAGGCGAGGCCGAAAGGCGUAGUCGAUGGGAAACGGGUUAAUAUUCCCGUACUUGGUGUUACUGCGAAGGGGGGACGGAGAAGGCUAUGUUGGCCGGGCGACGGUUGUCCCGGUUUAAGCGUGUAGGUGUGUGUUCCAGGUAAAUCCGGUUCACUUUAACACUGAGGCGUGAYGACGAGGCACUACGGUGCUGAAGCAACAAAUGCCCUGCUUCCAGGAAAAGCCUCUAAGCAUCAGGUAACAUCAAAUCGUACCCCAAACCGACACAGGUGGUCAGGUAGAGAAUACCAAGGCGCUUGAGAGAACUCGGGUGAAGGAACUAGGCAAAAUGGUGCCGUAACUUCGGGAGAAGGCACGCUGACACGUAGGUGAAGUGAUUUACUCAUGGAGCUGAAGUCAGUCGAAGAUACCAGCUGGCUGCAACUGUUUAUUAAAAACACAGCACUGUGCAAACACGAAAGUGGACGUAUACGGUGUGACGCCUGCCCGGUGCCGGAAGGUUAAUUGAUGGGGUCAGCGCAAGCGAAGCUCCUGAUCGAAGCCCCGGUAAACGGCGGCCGUAACUAUAACGGUCCUAAGGUAGCGAAAUUCCUUGUCGGGUAAGUUCCGACCUGCACGAAUGGCGUAAUGAUGGCCAGGCUGUCUCCACCCGAGACUCAGUGAAAUUGAACUCGCUGUGAAGAUGCAGUGUACCCGCGGCAAGACGGAAAGACCCCGUGAACCUUUACUAUAGCUUGACACUGAACAUUGAGCCUUGAUGUGUAGGAUAGGUGGGAGGCUUUGAAGUGUGGACGCCAGUCUGCAUGGAGCCGACCUUGAAAUACCACCCUUUAAUGUUUGAUGUUCUAACGUGGACCCGUWAYCCGGGUUGCGGACAGUGUCUGGUGGGUAGUUUGACUGGGGCGGUCUCCUCCUAAAGAGUAACGGAGGAGCACGAAGGUUGGCUAAUCCUGGUCGGACAUCAGGAGGUUAGUGCAAUGGCAUAAGCCAGCUUGACUGCGAGCGUGACGGCGCGAGCAGGUGCGAAAGCAGGUCAUAGUGAUCCGGUGGUUCUGAAUGGAAGGGCCAUCGCUCAACGGAUAAAAGGUACUCCGGGGAUAACAGGCUGAUACCGCCCAAGAGUUCAUAUCGACGGCGGUGUUUGGCACCUCGAUGUCGGCUCAUCACAUCCUGGGGCUGAAGUAGGUCCCAAGGGUAUGGCUGUUCGCCAUUUAAAGUGGUACGCGAGCUGGGUUUAGAACGUCGUGAGACAGUUCGGUCCCUAUCUGCCGUGGGCGCUGGAGAACUGAGGGGGGCUGCUCCUAGUACGAGAGGACCGGAGUGGACGCAUCACUGGUGUUCGGGUUGUCAUGCCAAUGGCACUGCCCGGUAGCUAAAUGCGGAAGAGAUAAGUGCUGAAAGCAUCUAAGCACGAAACUUGCCCCGAGAUGAGUUCUCCCUGAGACUUAGAGUCUCCUGAAGGAACGUUGAAGACGACGACGUUGAUAGGCCGGGUGUGUAAGCGCAGCGAUGCGUUGAGCUAACCGGUACUAAUGAACCGUGAGGCUUAACCUUACAACGCCGAAG
rnacentral:rRNA from 1 species